rnacentral:rRNA from 1 species
UCUUGACCUCGGAUCAGGUAGGGAUACCCGCUGAACUUAAGCAUAUCAAUAAAGCGGAGG